UACGGAGGGGGCUAGCGUUGUUCGGAAUUACUGGGCGUAAAGCGCACGUAGGCGGCGAUUUAAGUCAGAGGUGAAAGCCCGGGGCUCAACCCCGGAACUGCCUUUGAGACUGGAUUGCUUGAAUCCGGGAGAGGUGAGUGGAAUUCCGAGUGUAGAGGUGAAAUUCGUAGAUAUUCGGAAGAACACCAGUGGCGAAGGCGGCUCACUGGACCGGCAUUGACGCUGAGGUGCGAAAGCGUGGGGAGCAAAC
rnacentral:rRNA from 1 species